rnacentral:rRNA from 1 species
GGCAUAACCCCGGGAAACUGGGGAUAAUUCUGGAUAACGCACAUAUGCUGGAAUGCUUUAUGCGUAAAAUGGAUUCGUCUGCCCAAGGAUGGGUCUGCGGCCUAUCAGGUAGUAGUGGGUGUAAUGUACCUACUAGCCAACAACGGGUACGGGUUGUGAGAGCAAGAGCCCGGAGAUGGAUUCUGAGACAUGAAUCCAGGCCCUACGGGGCGCAGCAGGCGCGAAAACUUUACAAUGCGGGAAACCGUGAUAAGGGGACACCGAGUGCCAGCAUCAUAUGCUGGCUGUCCAGGUGUGUAAACUACACCUGUUAGCAAGGGCCGGGCAAGACCGGUGCCANCCGCCGCGGUAACACCGGCGGCCCGAGUGGUGAUCGUGAUUAUUGGGUCUAAAGGGUCCGUAGCCGGUUUGGUCAGUCCUCCGGGAAAUCUGAUAGCUCAACUAUUAGGCUUUCGGGGGAUACUGCCAGGCUUGGAACCGGGAGAGGUAAGAGGUACUACAGGGGUAGGAGUGAAAUCUUGUAAUCCCUGUGGGACCACCUGUGGCGAAGGCGUCUUACCAGAACGGGUUCGACGGUGAGGGACGAAAGCUGGGGGCACGAACCGGAUUAGAUACCCGGGUAGUCCCAGCCGUAAACGAUGCUCGCUAGGUGUCAGGCAUGGCGCGACCGUGUCUGGUGCCGCAGGGAAGCCGUGAAGCGAGCCACCUGGGAAGUACAGCCGCAAGGCUGAA